GGUGUAGCUCAGUGGUGGAGCACUUGCCUAAUGUAUGAAGUCCUGGGUUCCAUCCCCAGCAUC
rnacentral:tRNA from 1 species